rnacentral:rRNA from 1 species
CUGCAACUCGCCUGCAUGAAGUCGGAAUUGCUAGUAAUCGCAGAUCAGCAUGCUGCGGUGAAUACGUUCCCGGGCCUUGUACACACCGCCCGUCACACCAUGGGAGUCGGUAACACCCGAAGUCGGUAGCCUAACCGUAAGGAGGGCGCCGCCGAAGGUGGGCUUGAUGACUGGGGUGAAGUCGUAACAAGGUAAC